rnacentral:rRNA from 1 species
UGAGGAAUAUUGCGCAAUGGGCGAAAGCCUGACGCAGCGACGCCGCGUGGGGGAUGAAGGUCUUCGGAUUGUAAACCCCUUUCGGGAGGGAAGAUGGCCUUAGACAACUAAGGUGGACGGUACCUCCAGAAGCAGCCACGGCUAACUUCGUGCCAGCAGCCGCGGUAAUACGAAGGUGGCAAGCGUUGUUCGGAUUUACUGGGCGUAAAGGGAGCGUAGGUGGUUCGGUAAGCCCUCCGGGGAAAUCUUCAGGCUUAACCUGAAAAGGUCGGGGGGACUGCCUGGCUAGAGGACGGGAGAGGAGCGCGGAAUUCCCGGUGUAGCGGUGAAAUGCGUAGAGAUCGGGAGGAAGGCCGGUGGCGAAGGCGGCGCUCUGGAACGUUUCUGACACUGAGGCUCGAAAGCGUGGGGAGCAAACAGGAUUAGAUACCCUGGUAGUCCACGCCCUAAACUAUGGACACUAAGUGCCGGCGGGUUACCGUCGGUGCCGCAGCUAACGCAUUAAGUGUCCCGCCUGGGGAGUACGGCCGCAAGGUUGAAACUCAAAUGAAUU